CCUACGGGAGGCAGCAGUGGGGAAUAUUGCACAAUGGGCGCAAGCCUGAUGCAGCCAUGCCGCGUGUGUGAAGAAGGCCUUCGGGUUGUAAAGCACUUUCAGCAGUGAGGAAAGGUGUGUUGUUAAUAGCAACAUGCUGUGACGUUAACUGCAGAAGAAGCACCGGCUAACUCCGUGCCAGCAGCCGCGGUAAU
rnacentral:rRNA from 1 species